GCAUAUCAAUAAGCGGAGGAAAAGAAAAUAACAAUGAUUCCCCUAGUAACUGCGAGUGAAGAGGGACAAGCUCAAAUUUUAAAUCCGUCGGGUUUCACCUGACCGAGUUGUAAUUUGAAGAGGCGUUUUCCGCGUUUUUGAUCAGUCCAAGUCCUUUGGGAUAGGGCAUCAUGGAGGGUGAGAAUCCCGUUCGGCUGAUCAGAUUCGCUCUACGAUACGUCAUCUAAGAGUCAAGUUGUUUGGGAAUGCAGCUUAAAAUGGGAGGUAAAUUUCUCCUAAGGCUAAAUAACGGCGAGAGACCGAUAGCGAACAAGUACCGUGAGGGAAAGAUGAAAAGAACUUUGAAAAGAGAGUUAAACAGUACGUGAAAUUGUUGAAAGGGAAACGAUUGAAGCCAGUCGUACCGGUGGGUAAUCAGCCUUUCGGCGUGAUUAUGUGGAGCGUGAGGAGUUAAACGCCCUCAUGCCUGCAUAUUCGUGUUCUUUGGGUGUACUUACCCGCAUGGUAGGUUAACAUCAAUUUCGAACGUCAUAAAAUGGUUGGAGGAAUGUAGCUUCGAUCUCGUAUUGAAGUGUUAUAGCCUCCGGCAGAUGUGAUGAUCGGGAUUGAGGAUUGCAACGGAUACCCUUCGGGGCUACCCGUCUGAUCUCUGAAAGUUACUCUGGUGCCGAAAGCUCGCUUACGGUCAUCAAAGUUGACGUUCAACAGGUUAGAACGGGAUAAAUUCGUUAAGGAUGUUGACGUAAUGGCUUUAAACGAC
rnacentral:rRNA from 1 species